AUAAUUCCUUAAUCUUUUGACUAAAAUCAAGUGUAUAAUUUCUUGUCAUCAAUUUUAUAUCUGAUAUGCCCUUGUUCUGCUGACAAUAUGUUAAUGGAAUUUUGGAGCAGGGAGAUGGAACAGGAGAUUUCUCUGCCCGUGCCAUAUGUUGAUCUUGUGGUAUUGCAAUGCUGCCAGUAGUGGUGCCCCCACU